ACUCAAAGGAAUUGACGGGGACUCGCACAAGCAGUGGAUCAUGUGGCUUAAUUCGUCGACAAGCGAAGAACCUUACCCGGGCUAGAAACCAAGCUGCAUCUCUUCCGAAAGGUUGAGAGCCUUCGAGGGUGCUUGGCAGGUGAUGCAUGGUCGUCGUCAGUUCGUGGCUUGAGCUGUUCCCUUCAGUGGGGUAACGAACGCAACCCCCGUUGCCUGUUAUAUAUGUCAGGCGAGACUGCUCCCUCACGGGAGAGGAAGGUGGGGAUGACGCCAGAUCAGCAUGUCCCUUGAUGCCCGGGGCCGCACACGUGAUACAAUGGUUCACACAGAAGGAUGCAAGGCCGUAAGGCGGAGCAAAUCCCGAAAAUGAACCCCAGUACGGAUAGAGGUCUGCAAUGACCUCUUGAAGCCGGAAUUGCUAGUAAUCGUAGGUCAGCCAUACUACGGUGAAUACGUUCUCGAGUCUUGUACACACCGCCCGU
rnacentral:rRNA from 1 species